rnacentral:misc_RNA from 1 species
AAGUCGUAACAAGGUUUCCGUAGGUGAACCUGCGGAAGGAUCAUUAUCAAUUACUUGUGACUGCUUCUUUUUUUGAGAAGUGGUUGUAUGUUUUUGUGCACUGUUUUUUUCUUUUUGGUUAUUUUUCUUUCUGAGAGAAAUAAUCAAAGAUGAAAAUUUGAUUUUCUUAUUAUUAUUUUUCUUAUUUACUUGUAACUUUUGUUAUAAAUAAUUAAAAAAAAGACAACUUUCAGCAAUGGAUCUCUUGGCUGUU